AAGUCGUAACAAGGUUUCCGUAGGUGAACCUGCGGAAGGAUCAUUAACUAUUUGUGGGGAAUAAGGCUUUAAAAAACCUUUUUCACCAUUAAUUCAUCCAUAAUGUGGGUCAAACCACAUGCGCAAUGUUUUUUUUUUAAAGGGUUAACUUUCGGGUUACUCUUUAUUUAUUAUAAUAUGGCCUAAAAAACCAUAUUAUUAAUUUUUUUAUACUAAAUUUACUGAAUAAACGAUUGACCAUAAUUUAUGGUUGUUUUAAAAAUAUAUUAAUUUAUAUAAAAACAACUUUCAGCAAUGGAUCUCUCGGCUUUC
rnacentral:misc_RNA from 1 species